UGUUGUUAUGGUGCUAACCCUGAAAUGAGCAAAACAACUGUACAGUAUUCUGAAUCGCUAUUUACCUUGCUUACAAUGCAAGGUUAUUAUUCUUUCAAGAAAGUAAUAUAUUAAAAACGUAAAAGUUCACGUUUUAUUUAUGAAUGCUUAUUCGUUUCUAUAUUGUUAUCUGUGCUCAUUUUUUUUCCACGCGAAUUUACGACUUUAAAAGUAGGCCCGGGAUAAGCCUUGGAGUGGAUUGAAGUGUGUGACGGAGGUAGAUAGGAUGUUCAUUCCUCGGCAAAAAAAAAUCAAAGGGGCCGAGGUUCAGCGGAGAGUCAACAAAAAAAGGACAGUCGAGGACAAUAUAAAAUAAAUGAACAAAUGAGUAAAAUAUAUGUAAUAAGACAAAACGACGGAAGCGGAGAAGAAAAGAAUGAUCUCCAGGUACAACCGAAAGCCCAUCUCCCACAGCCUCGAGAUACGUGGAUUAUCGAGAAGCAAUAUUGAACAUCACCCAUUGCCAGAGAAGGAUGAUGUAUAUCUCCCACAAAAUUUCCUGCAUGAUGUCAAGGAUGCUGUUUCUGCUUACCAAAGAGAAUCUGAGGACUCCGAUGAAUCAAGUUGUCGAACGGUUACUGCAGAAGAGUUAGCAAAUUCUUGGUCUGCCAUUCAGAGCUACACUGGAACUGGAGUUUCCACAGAACGAAGUUCAGUCUUCUCCUGGGGCUAUGAUGAAUUUGAUAAAGCAGCAUCAAGGCAGGUGCAGCAAAUGUUUGAGGAAAUUGAUGAACUUCUAUAUGAGUGUAAACCAUGUGGACAAAUGCAGAGUCUUGAAGACGAAUGCGAACAGUGGAAAUCACGUUUCCCGCACCUCAGAAUACUGGGUACGCAGAUGGUGACGCCAACUGAUGAGGGUUACAAGUGGUAUUCAUCGACAGGGAGUUGUGAUUCUGUUUCAAGUACAGCAAGCAAUAGCAGAGAGAAAUCUUCCAAUGAGCUCAGUGUUCUUGGAAGGAAGGUCUCAUUCUCAGUGUCCAGGCCAAAUACAGAUAACACAUUAUCUGGGAAUGAUGGGAACAUUGUGAAUCCGAAUGAGGAGACUGGAGUGAUUGAGGCCGAAGGAUUGGUAGAGGAGUACUUAGCUUUUGAUUGUAGGGACAUAGAGGAAGAGGGAGCAGAAAAGAGACGUGACUAUCAGUCUCAAAGAAAAUGGAUGGGCUUUCCGCCUGUUACACCUUUUCACUGCAUGAAGGAAGCGGUGCUGGACACCAUGUUUGAGGAGGUGUGGAGGGAAGUUAUUGGCUGCAUGGAAGAGCUGGUUCGCAGGCACUGGGAGGGAUCUAUUUCUGAUGAUGAGCGAAAUGCAGUGACCAUUGCAAAAAAGGUGGAUUACUCGAGUCCAUUCAUGCUGUUCUCUGCCUUGACUAUGGUAGCACCACAAGUGACCCAAGCUCGACAGCUAUCCUCUACUCCAAAUCCCGUAAUGCAGAGCCAGCAGCCUAAGUCUCGAAGGAAGUCGAAAAAGACAAAGAAGUCUUCCACUGCUGCUCGAGCUCACAGUUUGACUGGAAGCCAACAGCAUAGUCUUAAUGACUUAAUUGUUAUCCAGGGCAUACCAUUACAACAAAGACACCUGCCAGUGCCUGACAGAAUACAGGAAACUGAAGCAACUGCACGUCCUGGUUCAAGCACUGUUUCCUCAAAUAAACCCCGUCCAAGGCGCCUACAAGAGCAGAACAGUUCUCUGUCCCGUCUUCCACAGUCUGCAAGGAGGCGCAAUCCUCUGCCUCGUACACUGCACCCUAUCAACUCUGGCCUGACCCAGUCAGGAUCUACUGUCUACCUCGAUGAGGUCGUCCGAGGAACACGGCUAGCCACAGCAAAUGACCGUCUGUCUUCCCCACCAAUGCCUCUGAGCCGAAAUAACCUUCUCCCACCAAUAAGUACUGGUGAACCAGAACACUCAAAUGUACAGCAGCAUAGCAGUCGACAACAACUUAAGCACUGGGGGACUUCAAGUCGUGCACACAGUGCCCUGACUGAUGACUUGGGAGGCCUCCCUUCAAAAGACAGAUUACAAGGGUUCGAUUUACUCUCUCGACCGAGUACAACACACACGUUCAGGUCAGACACUCCAUAUCGACGUUCUUUCACAGUUUUGGACAGCAUAAGCCAAACACGUCCUGGUCGAGGAUCUGCUGGUACAGAUUCCAUCAGCAUUGGAGUCACUGGAGUUAGCCUAGGAAUCAGUAGUUCAUCUUUCAUAGACUCUUUCUACUAUCAUCCACUGGGACACUCUCCAAUUGAGGAUGAGGAGGAAAAUGAAGAACAGCCGUCUCCAGUUUCCAAGAAAAAUCUUUUGAUUUAUGUCUGGAAGACAUAACACAUUUCCUGGUGUUCAUGCAGUGCACUUCAUCAAACAGUGCCGGUAGUCAAACAGGGGUAGUUGGUUUAGGAAAAGAACUGGCUGUGGGGGUUCAAACGGAGGAUUUUUCAGGACAUUUUCUGUUUUGGUCACUAGCAUAAAGGCCUCCAGAUCCCCGUUCCUAAUCGCUCUCAGACUAGAGGUGGACUGAUGUUGAAACACAGUCGCCAAGGACUGUAACCUUCCUUCAGGGACUUCAGGCCAUAACAAACAAAAACUGUGCAAGAAUAGUGCCUGAGACUUCAAUACUCUGUGGAAUGUUUACCUUUUUUUUGACUCCUACUUUUGCAGAAGCAUAUGGAGCGUCUUCAACUUAGUAGCCUAUUUUUGUACAUUUUAUUAGAUUGGUUAUGGCUGCCAAAGACAAAACACAAAUCAUCUAGUUACUGCAUUUUCAUAAUUGCCACCCCAGAUGUAUAUUUUAAUACUUUUUUUUUAUUAAAUUAAAAACCUAGUUCUCUUUCCUAAA